CAUGUCACUGUGUUUCAUAAGUUAAUAAGAUUGUAUUAAGAAAUACAUAAAAUAAGCUAAUGAUCUUGAUCAGAGUCCCUAACAACAGAAACCUCAGCAGCUCAGCUAUAAAAAGGUUACAACUAAGUUACUACAUAAAUAAACCUACAUAUUCCUACUUAUUUAGACAACAGUAAGUUUGACCAAAAACAUUGUGUCUAUUCUAAAUUUGUCUUUACCAAAAAACCUUCAAUGAAACUGCAGGAGUAUAAUCAUAAUCACAUCAUCAUCUCCAUAUCUGAACACGACCUUCUCUUCUAGAACCCAAUAAUCUUUAAAAUUCCAGACAUUCUAUACCUUAGAGAAAACUUGAAAUAAUAUGAGCUAGAUAUUGGAUGUGGACUUGUACCUCUUUUAAUAAGAUGUGAAGAUAUAUA
rnacentral:lncRNA from 1 species